rnacentral:rRNA from 1 species
GACGAACCGUGCGAACGUUAUUCGGAAUCACUGGGCUUAAAGCGCGUGUAGGCGGAUGGGGACGUCGGUCGCUGAAAUCCCCCGGCUCAACCGGGGAAGUGGCACCGAAACGCCCCGUCUGGAGGGACGUAGGGGGACCUGGAACUUCCGGUGGAGCGGUGAAAUGCGUUGAGAUCGGAAGGAACGCCCGUGGCGAAAGCGAGGUCCUGGACGUCUUCUGACGCUGAGACGCGAAAGCUAGGGGAGCGAACGCG